rnacentral:lncRNA from 1 species
CUCAUUUUAGAACGCGCGCGAGUCCGGCCGCUACGGAGGGCUCCCGAAGCCGGGCGGGACGGCGCCGGGUCCAGGGCGGCGGGCAGCUACAGCACAUCGGUGGGAGGGCCUAAUCGGAUUGUAAGCUCGUCGAGGCCGCUGGUCUCUUGCUCUCGAGGACUCCAUCCCAGCAUUGGCAGCCUCCGCCUCCCCAUGUCCCAAAAGAGGAAACUGGGCUGGAGAAAGUUUCGCAGCCCAAGGACGCGUGGCUGGAAGUGGCAGAACCCGGGCUUCCGAGGUUGGGCGAGUGGGGUCCUCCAAGGCCCUCAGCACGGGUCGGAGGGAUUGGGACUGAACCCGCCAUCCCCCUGGACCUUGGUGCCCUCCAAGCCCCGCGCUCGCGCCCUGUCCGUCGCCUCCCCCAGAGAUGCUCUGCAGGGACGAUGAGACCUUGGUGUUCCCCGGUUCUCUGUCCCCUGGCACCACCUGAACGAUUGACAUCGCAUUUGUACUUUUGUUUACUUAAAUUUUUUCCUGUAAAUCA